rnacentral:tRNA from 1 species
GGCAGCGUAGCUCAGUGGUAGAGCAGACGGUUCAUACCCGUCUUGUCGUAGGUUCGAAUCCUACCGCUGCCACCA